rnacentral:rRNA from 1 species
CUGGCGGCGCGUUUAAGCAUGCAAGUCGAGCGGCAAGGGCCGUCGGGCCCUAGAGCGGCGGACGGGUGAGUAACACGUGGACAAUCUGCCCCCGGCCCGGGAUAGCCCAGGGAAACCUGGAUUAAUACCGGAUGAGACGGGACCCGCGAUGGCGGGAUCCGGGAAAGGCGCUGCGGCGCCGCCGGGGGAUGAGUCUGCGUCCCAUUAGCUGGACGGCGGGGUAACGGCCCACCGUGGCGACGAUGGGUAGCCGGCCUGAGAGGGUGGACGGCCACAUUGGAACUGAGACACGGUCCAGACUCCUACGGGAGGCAGCAGCUAAGAAUCUUCCGCAAUGGGCGAAAGCCUGACGGAGACGACGCCGCGUGAACGAAGAAGGCCGUGAGGUUGUAAAGUUCUUUUCGGGAGGGGGAACAACCGUGGCAGGGAAUGGCCGCGGGAUGACGUGAAUCCCGGAAUAAGCCCCGGCUAACUACGUGCCAGCCGCGGC